AGUGAACGCUGGCGGUAGGCCUAACACAUGCAAGUCGAACGGCAGCACAGUAAGAGCUUGCUCUUACGGGUGGCGAGUGGCGGACGGGUGAGGAAUACAUCGGAAUCUACUUUUUCGUGGGGGAUAACGUAGGGAAACUUACGCUAAUACCGCAUACGACCUACGGGUGAAAGCAGGGGAUCUUCGGACCUUUCGCGAUUGAAUGAGCCGAUGUCGGAUUAGCUAGUUGGCGGGGUAAAGGCCCACCAAGGCGACGAUCCGUAGCUGGUCUGAGAGGAUGAUCAGCCACACUGGAACUGAGACACGGUCCAGACUCCUAAGGGAGGCAGCAGUGGGGAAUAUUGGACAAUGGGCGCAAGCCUGAUCCAGCCAUACCGCGUGGGUGAAGAAGGCCUUCGGGUUGUAAAGCCCUUUUGUUGGGAAAGAAAAGCAGCAGGUUAAUACCCCGCUGUUCUGACGGUACCCAAAGAAUAAGCACCGGCUAACUUCGUG
rnacentral:rRNA from 1 species